UACAAUUACUAAGACAUCAUUCAUUCAGUGAAUAACUUACUGAAUCUAUUAUGCCAGGCAUUUUGCUGAGCACUAUGGGAAACAGAACUGAACCAGAUAUUUUGUAUCAGACAAGUAAACUCAAAAACACCAAAACAAUGUGUGAAUAAGAAAAUGCUCCAGAAAGGGGGAACGCACUACAGACCGCAGAAAUAAAUGACAGUACACUGAUGGAGAUUGAAAUUCCUUCACUUUGACCCAGUCAACAAAGGAGCUUUCA
rnacentral:lncRNA from 1 species